GGUUAAGCGACUAAGCGUACACGGUGGAUGCCUAGGCAGUCAGAGGCGAUGAAGGGCGUGCUAAUCUGCGAAAAGCGUCGGUAAGCUGAUAUGAAGCGUUAUAACCGACGAUACCCGAAUGGGGAAACCCAGUGCAAUACGUUGCACUAUCGUUAGAUGAAUACAUAGUCUAACGAGGCGAACCGGGGGAACUGAAACAUCUAAGUACCCCGAGGAAAAGAAAUCAACCGAGAUUCCCCCAGUAGCGGCGAGCGAACGGGGAGGAGCCCAGAGUCUGAAUCAGUUUGUGUGUUAGUGGAAGCGUCUGGAAAGUCGCACGGUACAGGGUGAUAGUCCCGUACACCAAAAUGCACAGGCUGUGAACUCGAUGAGUAGGGCGGGACACGUGACAUCCUGUCUGAAUAUGGGGGGACCAUCCUCCAAGGCUAAAUACUCCUGACUGACCGAUAGUGAACCAGUACCGUGAGGGAAAGGCGAAAAGAACCCCGGCGAGGGGAGUGAAAUAGAACCUGAAACCGUGUACGUACAAGCAGUGGGAGCACCUUCGUGGUGUGACUGCGUACCUUUUGUAUAAUGGGUCAGCGACUUAUAUUUUGUAGCAAGGUUAACCGAAUAGGGGAGCCGUAGGGAAACCGAGUCUUAACUGGGCGUCUAGUUGCAAGGUAUAGACCCGAAACCCGGUGAUCUAGCCAUGGGCAGGUUGAAGGUUGGGUAACACUAACUGGAGGACCGAACCGACUAAUGUUGAAAAAUUAGCGGAUGACUUGUGGCUGGGGGUGAAAGGCCAAUCAAACCGGGAGAUAGCUGGUUCUCCCCGAAAGCUAUUUAGGUAGCGCCUCGUGAACUCAUCUUCGGGGGUAGAGCACUGUUUCGGCUAGGGGGCCAUCCCGGCUUACCAAACCGAUGCAAACUCCGAAUACCGAAGAAUGUUAUCACGGGAGACACACGGCGGGUGCUAACGUCCGUCGUGAAGAGGGAAACAACCCAGACCGCCAGCUAAGGUCCCAAAGUCAUGGUUAAGUGGGAAACGAUGUGGGAAGGCACAGACAGCCAGGAUGUUGGCUUAGAAGCAGCCAUCAUUUAAAGAAAGCGUAAUAGCUCACUGGUCGAGUCGGCCUGCGCGGAAGAUAUAACGGGGCUAAACCAUGCACCGAAGCUGCGGCAGCGACGUUUAGGCGUUGUUGGGUAGGGGAGCGUUCUGUAAGCCGUUGAAGGUGACCUGUGAGGGUUGCUGGAGGUAUCAGAAGUGCGAAUGCUGACAUAAGUAACGAUAAUGCGGGUGAAAAACCCGCACGCCGGAAGACCAAGGGUUCCUGUCCAACGUUAAUCGGGGCAGGGUGAGUCGACCCCUAAGGCGAGGCUGAAAAGCGUAGUCGAUGGGAAACAGGUUAAUAUUCCUGUACUUGGUGUUACUGCGAAGGGGGGACGGAGAAGGCUAGGCUGGCCGGGCGACGGUUGUCCCGGUUUAAGCGUGUAGGGGGAGUGACCAGGUAAAUCCGGUUGCUUAUCAACCCUGAGGCGUGAUGACGAUGCACCACGGUGCAGAAGCAGUUGAUGCCAUGCUUCCAGGAAAAGCCUCUAAGCAUCAGGUAACAUUAAAUCGUACCCCAAACCGACACAGGUGGUCAGGUAGAGAAUACUCAGGCGCUUGAGAGAACUCGGGUGAAGGAACUAGGCAAAAUGGUGCCGUAACUUCGGGAGAAGGCACGCUGGCGUUAGGUGAAAGGACUAGCUCCUGGAGCUGAAGCCAGUCGCAGAUACCAGCUGGCUGCAACUGUUUAAUAAAAACACAGCACUGUGCAAACACGAAAGUGGACGUAUACGGUGUGACGCCUGCCCGGUGCUGGAAGGUUAAUUGAUGGGGUCAGCCGCAAGGCGAAGCUCUUGAUCGAAGCCCCAGUAAACGGCGGCCGUAACUAUAACGGUCCUAAGGUAGCGAAAUUCCUUGUCGGGUAAGUUCCGACCUGCACGAAUGGCGUAAUGAUGGCCAGGCUGUCUCCACCCGAGACUCAGUGAAAUUGAACUCGCUGUGAAGAUGCAGUGUACCCGCGGCAAGACGGAAAGACCCCGUGAACCUUUACUAUAGCUUGACACUGAACAUUGAGCCUUGAUGUGUAGGAUAGGUGGGAGGCCUUGAAGUGUGGACGCCAGUCUGCAUGGAGCCAACCUUGAAAUACCACCCUUUAAUGUUUGAUGUUCUAACUCGGCCCCAUGAUCUGGGGUGAGGACAGUGUCUGGUGGGUAGUUUGACUGGGGCGGUCUCCUCCCAAAGAGUAACGGAGGAGCACGAAGGUUAGCUAAUCACGGUCGGACAUCGUGAGGUUAGUGCAAAGGCAUAAGCUAGCUUGACUGCGAGAGUGACGGCUCGAGCAGGUACGAAAGUAGGUCUUAGUGAUCCGGUGGUUCUGAAUGGAAGGGCCAUCGCUCAACGGAUAAAAGGUACUCCGGGGAUAACAGGCUGAUACCGCCCAAGAGUUCAUAUCGACGGCGGUGUUUGGCACCUCGAUGUCGGCUCAUCACAUCCUGGGGCUGAAGUAGGUCCCAAGGGUAUGGCUGUUCGCCAUUUAAAGUGGUACGCGAGCUGGGUUUAGAACGUCGUGAGACAGUUCGGUCCCUAUCUGCCGUGGGCGUUGGAAGAUUGAGAGGGGCUGCUCCUAGUACGAGAGGACCGGAGUGGACGAAUCACUGGUGUUCGGGUUGUCAUGCCAAUGGCAUUGCCCGGUAGCUAAAUUCGGAAGAGAUAACCGCUGAAAGCAUCUAAGCGGGAAACUUGCCUCGAGAUGAGUCUUCCCUGGGGCUUAAAGCCCCCUGAAGGAACGUUAAAGACUAUGACGUUGAUAGGCUGGGUGUGUAAGUGCAGCGAUGUAUUGAGCUAACCAGUACUAAUGAUCCGUGAGGCUUAACCUU
rnacentral:rRNA from 1 species